GGGAGAGUGCUUCAGUCGCGAUCCUGCAGGAGGGAGAAAAGUUGGCGGUGCCAGAGAUCGAGAGUGGUGCACUGGAUUCCAUGCAUGCGACAGAUGCCACAGUGGACGACACACAGCGAGCACCUCCUGCCAGUGAGGACAUUCACGAGAACGUGGAAGAGGAGCAAACAAAAGUCCAGGUGCCACAUGAAGUUUCCGAACGCGAGGUCGAGCUUGCUGUCCCGGUAAAAGAACUCCCAGAGUCGGGGAAUGAAGAAGUCCAGGACCCACAGCCUGUGCUUGAGGCCGUUCCCGAGCUUGAGGCCGUGCCUGAGGCUGCUGAAGAGGCUGUCAAGGAGGUGGAACCGGCCGAGCCAGUCGUAGCUCAAGUACCAACUACCACAGUGGAUGACGUUUUACCCACACACGAGGAAAUCAAGGAGGAAGAGAGCAUAGAGCCGGCCAAGGUGGCUGUGGAUGACCAGGUGGAGAAUGUCGAGCCCAGGGAGAGUGCUUCAGUCGCGAUCCUGCAGGAGGGAGAAAAGUUGGCAGUGCCAGAGAUCGAGAGUGGUGCACCGGAUUCCAUGCAUGCGACAGAUGCCACAGUGGACGACACACAGCGAGCACCUCCUGCCAGUGAGGACAUUCACGACAACGUGGAAGAGGAGCAAAGCAAAGUCGAGGUGCAGCAUGAAGUUUCCGAACGCGAGGUCGAGCUUGCUGUCCCAGUAGAAGAACUCCCACAGUCGGGGAACGAAGAAGUCCAGGACCCACAGCCUGUGCUUGAGGCCGUUCCCGAGCUUGAGGCCGUGCCUGAGGCUGCUGAAGAGGCUGUCAAGGAGGGGGAACCGGCCGAGCCAGUCGUAGCUCAAGUACCAACUACCACAGUGGAUGACGUUUUACCCACACACGAGGAAAUCAAGGAGGAAGAGAGCAUAGAGCCGGCCAAGGUGGCUGUGGAUGACCACGUGGAGAAUGUCGAGCCCAGGGAGAGUGCUUCAGUAGCGAUCCUGCAGGAGGGAGAAAAGUUGGCGGUGCCAGAGAUCGAGAGUGGUGCUCCAGAUUCCAUCCAUGUGACAGAUGCCACAGUGGACGACACACAGCGAGCAUCUCCUGCCAGUGAGGACAUUCACGACAACGUGGAAGAGGAGCAAAGCAAAGUCGAGGUGCAGCAUGAAGUUUCCGAACGCAAGGUCGAGCUUGCCGUCCCAGUAGAAGAACUCCCACAGUCAGGGAACGAAGAAGUCCAGCAGCCACAGCCUGUGCUUGAGGCCGUUCCCGAGACAGAGGCCGUGCCUGAGGCUUCUGAAGAGGCUGCCAAAGAGGUGCAACCAGCCGAGCCAGUUGUAGCUCAAGUACCAACCGCGAAAGUGGAUGACGUCUUACCCGCACACGAGGAAAUCAAGGAGGAAGAGAGCAUAGAGCCGGCCAAGGUGGCUGUGGAUGACCAGGUGGAGAAUGUCGAGCCCAGGGAGAGUGCUUCAGUCGCGAUCCUGCAGGAGGGAGAAAAGUUGGCAGUGCCAGAGAUCGAGAGUGGUGCACCGGAUUCCAUGCAUGCGACAGAUGCCACAGUGGACGACACACAGCGAGCACCUCCUGCCAGUGAGGACAUUCACGAGAACGUGGAAGAGGAGCAAAGCAAAGUCGAGGUGCAGCAUGAAGUUUCCGAAUGCGAGGUCGAGCUUGCUGUCCCAGUAGAAGAACUCCCACCGUCAGGGAACGAAGAAGUCCAGGAGCCACAGCCUGUGCUUGAGGCCGUUCCCGAGACAGAGGCCGUGCCUGAGGCUUCUGAAGAGGAUGCCAAAGAGGUGCAACCAGCCGAGCCAAUUGUAGCUCAAGUACCAACUGCGAAAGUGGAUGACGUCUUACCCGCACACGAGGAAAUCAAGGAGGAAGAGAGCAUAGAGCCGGCCAAGGUGGCUGUGGAUGACCAGGUGGAGAAUGUCGAGCCCAGGGAGAGUGCUUCAGUCGCGAUCCUGCAGGAGGGAGAAAAGUUGGCGGUGCCAGAGAUCGAGAGUGGUGCACUGGAUUCCAUGCAUGCGACAGAUGCCACAGUGGACGACACACAGCGAGCACCUCCUGCCAGUGAGGACAUUCACGACAACGUGGAAGAGGAGCAAAGCAAAGUCGAGGUGCAGCAUGAAGUUUCCGAACGCGAGGUCGAGCUUGCUGUCCCAGUAGAAGAACUCCCACAGUCGGGGAACGAAGAAGUCCAGGAGCCACAGCCUGUGCUUGAGGCCGUUCCCGAGACAGAGGCCGUGCCUGAGGCUUCUGAAGAGGAUGCCAAAGAGGUGCAACCAGCCGAGCCAGUUGUAGCUCAAGUACCAACCGCGAAAGUGGAUGACGUCUUACCCGCACACGAGGAAAUCAAGGAGGAAGAGAGCAUAGAGCAGGCCAAGGUGGCUGUGGAUGACCAGGUGGAGAAUUUCAAGCCCAGGGAGAGUGCUUCAGUCGCGAUCCUGCAGGAGGGAGAAAAGUUGGCGGUGCCAGAGAUCGAGAGUGCUGCUCCAGAUUCCAUCCAUGUGACAGAUGCCACAGUGGACGACACACAGCGAGCAUCUCCUGCCAGUGAGGACAUUCACGACAACGUGGAAGAGGAGCAAACCAAAGUCGAGGUGCAGCAUGAAGUUUCCGAACGCAAGGUCGAGCUUGCCGUCCCAGUAGAAGAACUCCCACAGUCAGGGAACGAAGAAGUCCAGCAGCCACAGCCUGUGCUUGAGGCCGUUCCCGAGACAGAGGCCGUGCCUGAGGCUUCUGAAGAGGCUGCCAAAGAGGUGCAACCAGCCGAGCCAGUUGUAGCUCAAGUACCAACUGCGAAAGUGGAUGACGUCUUACCCGCACACGAGGAAAUCAAGGAGGAAGAGAGCAUAGAGCCGGCCAAGGUGGCUGUGGAUGACCAGGUGGAGAAUGUCGAGCCCAGGGAGAGUGCUUCAGUCGCGAUCCUGCAGGAGGGAGAAAAGUUGGCAGUGCCAGAGAUCGAGAGUGGUGCACCGGAUUCCAUGCAUGCGACAGAUGCCACAGUGGACGACACACAGCGAGCACCUCCUGCCAGUGAGGACAUUCACGACAACGUGGAAGAGGAGCAAAGCAAAGUCGAGGUGCAGCAUGAAGUUUCCGAACGCGAGGUCGAGCUUGCUGUCCCAGUAGAAGAACUCCCACAGUCGGGGAACGAAGAAGUCCAGGAGCCACAGCCUGUGCUUGAGGCCGUUCCCGAGACAGAGGCCGUGCCUGAGGCUUCUGAAGAGGAUGCCAAAGAGGUGCAACCAGCCGAGCCAGUUGUAGCUCAAGUACCAACCGCGAAAGUGGAUGACGUCUUACCCGCACACGAGGAAAUCAAGGAGGAAGAGAGCAUAGAGCAGGCCAAGGUGGCUGUGGAUGACCAGGUGGAGAAUUUCAAGCCCAGGGAGAGUGCUUCAGUCGCGAUCCUGCAGGAGGGAGAAAAGUUGGCGGUGCCAGAGAUCGAGAGUGCUGCUCCAGAUUCCAUCCAUGUGACAGAUGCCACAGUGGACGACACACAGCGAGCAUCUCCUGCCAGUGAGGACAUUCACGACAACGUGGAAGAGGAGCAAACCAAAGUCGAGGUGCAGCAUGAAGUUUCCGAACGCAAGGUCGAGCUUGCCGUCCCAGUAGAAGAACUCCCACAGUCAGGGAACGAAGAAGUCCAGCAGCCACAGCCUGUGCUUGAGGCCGUUCCCGAGACAGAGGCCGUGCCUGAGGCUGCUGAAGAGGCUGUCAAGGAGGUGGAACCGGCCGAGCCAGUCGUAGCUCAAGUACCAACCGCGAAAGUGGAUGACGUUUUACCCACACACGAGGAAAUCAAGGAGGAAGAGAGCAUAGAGCCGGCCAAGGUGGCUGUGGAUGACCAGGUGGAGAAUGUCGAGCCCAGGGAGAGUGCUUCAGUCGCGAUCCUGCAGGAGGGAGAAAAGUUGGCAGUGCCAGAGAUCGAGAGUGGUGCACCGGAUUCCAUGCAUGCGACAGAUGCCACAGUGGACGACACACAGCGAGCACCUCCUGCCAGUGAGGACAUUCACGACAACGUGGAAGAGGAGCAAAGCAAAGUCGAGGUGCAGCAUGAAGUUUCCGAACGCGAGGUCGAGCUUGCUGUCCCAGUAGAAGAACUCCCACAGUCGGGGAACGAAGAAGUCCAGGACCCACAGCCUGUGCUUGAGGCCGUUCCCGAGCUUGAGGCCGUGCCUGAGGCUGCUGAAGAGGCUGCCAAAGAGGUGCAACCAGCCGAGCCAGUUGUAGCUCAAGUACCAACCGCGAAAGUGGAUGACGUCUUACCCGCACACGAGGAAAUCAAGGAGGAAGAGAGCAUAGAGCCGGCCAAGGUGGCUGUGGAUGACCAGGUGGAGAAUGUCGAGCCCAGGGAGAGUGCUUCAGUCGCGAUCCUGCAGGAGGGAGAAAAGUUGGCAGUGCCAGAGAUCGAGAGUGGUGCACCGGAUUCCAUGCAUGCGACAGAUGCCACAGUGGACGACACACAGCGAGCACCUCCUGCCAGUGAGGACAUUCACGAGAACGUGGAAGAGGAGCAAAGCAAAGUCGAGGUGCAGCAUGAAGUUUCCGAACGCGAGGUCGAGCUUGCUGUCCCAGUAGAAGAACUCCCACCGUCAGGGAACGAAGAAGUCCAGGAGCCACAGCCUGUGCUUGAGGCCGUUCCCGAGACAGAGGCCGUGCCUGAGGCUUCUGAAGAGGAUGCCAAAGAGGUGCAACCAGCCGAGCCAGUUGUAGCUCAAGUACCAACUGCGAAAGUGGAUGACGUCUUACCCGCACACGAGGAAAUCAAGGAGGAAGAGAGCAUAGAGCCGGCCAAGGUGGCUGUGGAUGACCAGGUGGAGAAUGUCGAGCCCAGGGAGAGUGCUUCAGUCGCGAUCCUGCAGGAGGGAGAAAAGUUGGCGGUGCCAGAGAUCGAGAGUGGUGCUCCAGAUUCCAUCCAUGUGACAGAUGCCACAGUGGACGACACACAGCGAGCACCUCCUGCCAGUGAGGACAUUCACGACAACGUGGAAGAGGAGCAAAGCAAAGUCGAGGUGCAGCAUGAAGUUUCCGAACGCGAGGUCGAGCUUGCUGUCCCAGUAGAAGAACUCCCACCGUCAG
rnacentral:lncRNA from 1 species